UUCCCGCCCCCCGACAGAGACGUCCUGCAAAUGCUCUCCGGCGCCAUCUCCAGCGCGAGCGGCGACGGCCUCCUCUUCCUCUCCGUCCUAAACGCGCGCUUCACCCCUCCCGCCGCCGGCGAGCAGGGCGCCGGUCGUGCGAGCACGCACCCCGCCGUCUUCGACCCCGCCCACGCGCCCCGCGUCACACGCCUCGUCUGCAACCCUCUCACCCGCGAGCCAUCCCGCCUCCCGGACUUCGUCUCCGACCCCAAGUACGAUUUCAUGCUUGCCACCCAGAUGUACAUGGGCGUGGUCACCCAAGCAGACCGCGGGCAGGGGGCACCGGACAGGUUCGUCGCUGCCUUGCUGAACGGGGAGGAGAUGCUCCGAUUCCGUUCGGAAGCAGGGGAGUGGGAGGCCGUGACGCUCUCGCCGUGCUUUUUCCCACUUCCGCGGCCGCGGAGAGUGACGCUGGACCAGGAGACGGUGGCAUUCGGCGGCCGCCUGUGGUGGGUCGACUUGUCCUGGGGCGCACUCUCCGCCGACCCGUUCAGCGACCGGCCGGAGCUCUCCUUCGUCGAGCUGCCGAGGGGCAGCGUGCUGCCUGAAGGCGCGCAGGACCAAGCGAGGAUGCACACACCCUUCAGGUACCGGCGCUUGGGUGUCAGCCAAGGGCGGCUGCGCUACGUCGAGGUCUCUCGGGAGGAACCGUUCCUUCUCAGCUCCUUCGUGCUCGACGACGAGGGCAGCGGCUGGAUGCAGGAGCACCGGGUGGUGCUCAACAAGCUCUGGGCGAGCCACAUGUCCCUGCCCUUACAGCAGGGGGCGACGACACGCAUUGUCCUCAUUGACCCAGUUAAUGCCAACCUCGUUUACCUCGCAGUUGACACGCUAGCCGUCGUCGCCGUGGACAUGGACAGGGAGGAGGUGAUUGGGAGUUAUCCGUACACCGACGUCGCCUGCAUACCAUGUGUUCUUCCACCCUGGCUCGGAUCAAGCCGGAUCCCUUGUGCAGGA
rnacentral:rRNA from 1 species